UUACCCGGUGAUGCUUCAAUAUAGAUGUGCUUUUAGUAGAUGUGCUUUUAGUACCUCAUUGGCUGCUUUUCUCAGCCAAUUAGAGGGUAGGAUAUAUUCCAUCCACCAAUCAAAAUUACAUAAGAAGGGAAGAAAGAAAGAAAGAAAGACGUCUCAGGCCUCAGGGAUUGGUUUAACGGUUGAUUGGGUGAUGAAAAGUCUGAAUCUGACGCUGACUCUAAAAGGGUUUGGAUUAAGAUUUCCUCCAUCACCCUUCUCUUCUAAGGGGAAAUUCGUCAUCAUUCGAUCAAUAAAUUUUCGAGAUUUCAACCAAGAUCAAAAUCAAACUCGAAAUCGUUGUGUAAGGGUAUCUGGUGGGAUGUCUAAUAACGAAACGAAGAAGGUUGAAGAAGAGCAAUCAACGGAGAAGAAAGUGGGUUUGGAUAAGUCACUACCAGAGCCAACACCACCAGAAAAGCCAUUACCUGGAGAUUGUUGUGGGAGUGGUUGCGUUAGGUGUGUUUGGGAUGUUUACUAUGAAGAACUAGAAGAUUAUAACAAUCAGCUCCAAACCCUUUCUCAAUCUCAAUCCAAAACGUAGUAUUUCGAUUAGUAUUUAAUGGUGUUCCUGUUCUACUUCUUCUCUCCUUUCCCUUCUUUUUACUCUAUAUGAUUAUUACUACUUAUUGUUAAAAUGGGGAGAAGCUUGAGUUUCUCUUUGGUAAACUCAUCAUUUGAUUUACUAUUAGUGAUAUGCAGAUUCUGAAAUAGUAUCUCCAGUAGCAGGUAGUAGUUUGAGAUUUUAUGUUUGCGAGUUGCAUCCUCAUUUUCUUUUCCUUUUUCUCCUAUUUCUAUGUUCAUCCAAAUCUAUUGAGCUUUGGAAAAAAGAAACAAUACAAUCAUGGUCUAAUUCAAUCAUUCAUGAUCCUGCUUUUAUCAAUUUACAUUUACUUCGAAGCCCUAAGAACCUUGGUUUCAUCUGUUUUCCUUCGAAUUUUAAAGAAAUUGUGUUUUUGACUGAACCUCCGGAAGUAGUUGAAUUGGUUGGCUAAUGUUCCGAGUAAACCACAUUUGGAUGAGAGUGAGGUUGAUGAGGAUGCAUUGGAUGAGAUUCUACACGAUAGAAUUCCCAAAGGGAGCCUCAGAAAAAUGUACUACUGUACAUUGAUCAUAUAUCAGACAAUGAAUUGAGUUUAUGGGUUUUGAAGAAGAAUACUCAACAGCAACAAUAUGAAUGGAUAGAGAAGUGCAGUUUUCAUGUACCAGAAAUCUUGGGUCGUUUCUGGUGGGAUCGUGGUAUUGCAAUUGUUGGAUAUCCUAAACUUAAAAUGAUAUUUGCCCCAGCUUGGAUGAGUGACGAAGUCCAUGGCGACUUGUAUUGGAAUUUCCACUGCUAUGAUGUGCAAUCAAAACAGUUAUGUUUGAGGCAAGUGAUUUGAGGGUUCUCUUGCAUGUAUGUGAACAGCUUGGCAUACUUUUGAUCCACUUUUUUUUGGUACUAAUCAAGAGAAUUUUAGUGCUAUGUUUUUAGUAUUGCAACUUCUGAUAUAGGUACGUUUUUGUUUUCUCUCUUAUAUUACUGCAUUGAGGUCUUCAGAGGGCUGACUGCUGAGAGUGAGAAAUAUUAGACAGUAAUAUGGAUCUCUUAACUAAAUAGAUAUGAGAGAAGUAAAUCUUAAAAAUUUGAAGGAGAUGGUGAUCCGUGAUCCUAGAGAAUUAUGUAGGCAAUCAGGUGUAUUGGCUCCCUAACAAAGUCCAGACUCCUCGUAGAGUUGGAAAAUCGCUUUGAUGCUGCAGAGUUUUAAUGCUUUCAGACAUGAUGUAUUUUCCAAUUUCUUAGACUGAUCAUAGAUUUAUAAUUCUUUAAACAUUUCAUUUUUGCUUCUUCAUUUUCAUGGUUCUCCUAAUCAUGUUUUUGGUUUGAAUCAAGAUUAUAUUAUGCUGUGUAUUCAUGUACCAAAGAGUUUGAGAUUCCUUGUCAGAAAAGAAACUUGUUACAGUGAUGUUGUAUCGCCUGGAAGAACUGUACUUGUGCAGGGAUAAACCAGAAUGUUGUUAUCGUGGUCCUAGGCUUCUACGCGCACUUAUACUCAUCUGCAUCAUGGUGUCAGCAUCAUAUGCUUCCACAAUCUGGAAAUGGGGAACACAGGUGAAACUUGACUGUAAGCAGCCUAUACAUAAUCUACUUCAACUCGGCUUCUGGGUAGCUACUAAGUUUUCUAUUUAUUAUAAAGUUUUAAAAAGACAUGAGUUCAUUUAUUUGGUAAGAUAUGGGAAGUCUUGGCCUAAACUAUGCAUAAGAUGCUGUGAUUUGUCUGAAGAUCUGCAUUGGUGUCUACAUAUCAUUAGACAGUGAUAUAUUGUUUAUUUUUGUAGAGGGGAUUCUGGACUUCCCCUUUACCUUCAUUUUCUAAAUAACGAAAUAAUGCACAUUCCAUUAUGCAUUUCAGUGUGGUAUACAUCCUGAAGCUCUCUUUUUCAAAGAUGAGUUUUAUAGCAACUAGCAAAAUAAUACAGAGAAAAGUUUGCUUUUGCUGCGAUUUUCUCUUAAACCUUAUUGGUUGUACCGCACUGGGAUAUUUCUUGUCACCAUAGGUGUUUGCUUCUCAAAUUGGAAACUGAUAAAAUAUGGUUGGCCACCGUGAAUGGACAUUGAUAUGGUGAUCUAUAUUCUGUUCUUAUUCAUGUAGUUUGAGGUUUUUGCGAUUUCUGGUACUGGUGUGAUGUUAGUGUUUGGUUGUAUGAUAUUUAAUUGAUCUUCAAACAGGUUGCGAGUUUUUGCUGGAAAAUUGAGUUCCAUAAUCUUGUCAUCUUUGAAUUCCAUAAUCUUAUCAGGGAUUAAACGUAGAAGAAACAUAAAUGGGAGUUACUGAAGCUGGUGAAGGAUGGUUUGGGGGAUACAUCAGGGUUUCCGUCACAGAACAAAAGCACCAGAGAAAGAGAUAAGUACUUGCAGAGAAUUGUAAAGCAUCAAAUCUUCAGUAAGAGAGUGAUGUCCCUAGUUGUUCUUGAGGCACCUCAUAUGUUGGUCCUGUUCUUUAUAUCCCUUGGUAUCCUUGGGGAAUGUGUUUUCUUCCUCAUUUACAUUUGAUUAUUUGGACAUACUCAGAACUUCAAUCCAUAAUAUCCUCUUACACACAGUGAUGAGGUUGAUUAUAGAGGUGCAGGACAUCCUGAUGGCCCUGUUCUUGUGCCUGUGUCCCUGGAUCAGUUGAAUUUCCUCCUAAUCGUUUUACUUGUCGCAUGUGAUUUACCUCAUAUUGUAAAAAAAUUAAGCAGUUGAGCCAUGUGAGAUUGUUAUCUGUCUCUGGUUGAUGUCCACCAAUUUGAAUUGUCUUUUGGUCCACUAUAAUUUAUAAAUGAUUUUUAGUUCAUCUUA